UCGCGGCCUAUCAGCUUGUUGGUGAGGUAAUGGCUCACCAAGGCGACGACGGGUAGCCGGCCUGAGAGGGUGACCGGCCACACUAGGACUGAGACACGGCCCAGACUCCUACGGGAGGCAGCAGUGGGGAAUAUUGCACAAUGGGCGCAAGCCUGAUGCAGCGACGCCGCGUGAGGGAUGACGGCCUUCGGGUUGUAAACCUCUUUCAGUAGGGAAGAAGCGAAAGUGACGGUACCUGCAGAAGAAGCGCCGGCUAACUACGUGCCAGCAGCCGCGGUAAUACGUAGGGCGCGAGCGUUAUCCGGAAUUAUUGGGCGUAAAGAGCUCGUAGGCGGUUUGUCGCGUCUGCCGUGAAAGUCCGGGGCUUAACUCCGGAUCUGCGGUGGGUACGGGCAGACUAGAGUGCAGUAGGGGAGACUGGAAUUCCUGGUGUAGCGGUGAAAUGCGCAGAUAUCAGGAGGAACACCGAUGGCGAAGGCAGGUCUCUGGGCUGUAACUGACGCUGAGGAGCGAAAGCAUGGGGAGCGAACAGGAUUAGAUACCCUGGUAGUCCAUGCCGUAAACGUUGGGCACUAGGUGUGGGGGACAUUCCACGUUUUCCGCGCCGUAGCUAACGCAUUAAGUGCCCCGCCUGGGGAGUACGGCCGCAAGGCUAAAACUCAAAGGAAUUGACGGGGGCCCGCACAAGCGGCGGAGCAUGCGGAUUAAUUCGAUGCAACGCGAAGAACCUUACCAAGGCUUGACAUGUUCCUGACCGCCGUAGAGAUACGGUUUCCCCUUUGGGGCAGGUUCACAGGUGGUGCAUGGUUGUCGUCAGCUCGUGUCGUGAGAUGUUGGGUUAAGUCCCGCAACGAGCGCAACCCUCGUUCCAUGUUGCCAGCACGUAGUGGUGGGGACUCAUGGGAGACUGCCGGGGCAACUCGGAGGAAGGUGGGGACGACGUCAAAUCAUCAUGCCCCUUAUGUCUUGGGCUUCACGCAUGCUACAAUGGCCGGUACAAUGGGUUGCGAUACUGUGAGGUGGAGCUAAUCCCAAAAAGCCGGUCUCAGUUCGGAUUGGGGUCUGCAACUCGACCCCAUGAAGUCGGAGUCGCUAGUAAUCGCAGAUCAGCAACGCUGCGGUGAAUACGUUCCCGGGCCUUGUACACACCGCCCGUCAAGUCACGAAAGUUGGUAACACCCGAAGCCGGUGGCCUAACCCUUGUGGGGGGAGCCGUCGAAGGUGGGGCUGGA
rnacentral:rRNA from 1 species